rnacentral:rRNA from 1 species
GACGAACGCUGGCGGCGUGCCUAAUACAUGCAAGUCGAGCGGACUUUCAAGAAGCUUGCUUUUUGAAAGUUAGCGGCGGACGGGUGAGUAACACGUGGGCAACCUGCCUGCAAGACGGGGAUAACUCCGGGAAACCGGGGCUAAUACCGGAUAAUAUCUUCCUUCGCAUGAAGGAAGGUUGAAAGGCGGCGCAAGCUGCCGCUUGCAGAUGGGCCCGCGGCCCAUUAGCUAGUUGGUGAGGUAACGGCUCACCAAGGCGACGAUGCGUAGCCGACCUGAGAGGGGGAUCGGCCACACUGGGACUGAGACACGGCCCAGACUCCUACGGGAGGCAGCAGUAGGGAAUCUUCCGCAAUGGACGAAAGUCUGACGGAGCAACGCCGCGUGAGCGAAGAAGGGCUUCGGAUCGUAAAGCUCUGUUGUCAGGGAAGAACAAGUACCGUUCGAACAGGGCGGUACCUUGACGGUACCUGACCAGAAAGCCACGGCUAACUACGUG